CAAUAGCGUAUAUUAAAGUUGUUGCGGUUAAAAAGCUCGUAGUUGGAGUUCUGCCAGGUGCCGCCUGUCCGCCCCAGUGGUGAGUACGUGGCGCGCAUUUGGCCCUUUCAAGGGGAGCGUAUCUGCACUUUAUUGUGUGGUGCGGGAUCCUUGACUUUUACUUUGAGGAAAUAGGAGUGUUCCAAGCAGGCUCUCGUCGUGCACAGCUCAGCAUGGAAUAAUAGCAUUGGACCUCGAUUCUAAGCUGUUGGUUGCCAGAAGCGAGGUAAUGAUUAAGAGGGACAGACGGGGGCAUCCGUAUUGCGGUGUUAGAGGUGAAAUUCUUGGAUCAUCGCAAGACGAACAACUGCGAAAGCAUUUGCCAAGCAUGUUUUCAUUAG
rnacentral:rRNA from 1 species